rnacentral:rRNA from 1 species
UACGGAGGGGACUAGCGUUGUUCGGAAUUACUGGGCGUAAAGCGCGCGUAGGCGGAUCUGCAAGUCGGGGGUGAAAUCCCGAGGCUCAACCUCGGAACUGCCUUCGAUACUGCGGGUCUCGAGUCCGGGAGAGGUGAGUGGAAUUCCUAGUGUAGAGGUGAAAUUCGUAGAUAUUAGGAAGAACACCAGUGGCGAAGGCGGCUCACUGGCCCGGUACUGACGCUGAGGCGCGAAAGCGUGGGGAGCAAACAGG